CAUGACUGGAAGGAUCCACCCGCUAUGCGCUCCGCCUCAUGCAACGUAUAGACUAUAAAUACGGACCCAGACUCAGAGGUGCGCCUUCUCUGUAGCUGCUCCUGAGCUGUGGAAUGCACUCCCAGCAGAAAUCUGCAAUCUUAAUUCUUUAUUGACCUUCAGGAGAGCCCUUAAAACCUAUCUGUUUGGUCUGGCCUUACAGGGUUUUAAUUAGUUUAAAUUGCUUUAAUGUUCUAACCUGGUUUUCAGGGUUUUUAUUGUUCUGAUUGUUUAAUUGUUUUUUAAGAUGUUUUAAUUGUUAAUUGGUGUUUAUAUUUAUAUUUCUGUUUUAAUUGUUAUUGGUUUUAAUGGUUUCUGUUUUCAUUGUAAACCACCCUGAGCCUUUUCGGAAGGGCGGUAUACAAAUCAAAUGAAUGAAUGAAUGAAUGAAUAAAACAUGUAGGGCAACA